GUGGGGAAUCUUCCGCAAUGGGCGAAAGCCUGACGGAGCAACGCCGCGUGAGUGAUGACGGCCUUCGGGUUGUAAAGCUCUGUUAUAUGGGACGAACGGGCAUGGGGCCAAUACCCUCAUGCAGUGACGGUACCGUAAGAGAAAGCCACGGCUAACUACGUGCCAGCAGCCGCGGUAAUACCUAGGUGGCAAGCGUUGUCCGGAAUUAUUGGGCGUAAAGGGCGUGUAGGCGGCCAGACAAGUCUGUCUUAAAAGUGCGGGGCUCAACCCCGUGAUGGGAUGGAAACUGGCGGGCUAGAGUGUCGGAGAGGAAAGCGGAAUUCCUAGUGUAGCGGUGAAAUGCGUAGAUAUUAGGAGGAACACCAGUGGCGAAAGCGGCUUUCUGGACGACAACUGACGCUGAGGCGCGAAAGCCAGGGGAGCAAACGGGAUUAGAAACCCCUGUAGUCC
rnacentral:rRNA from 1 species